UCUGGUCUUGGGACACUGUCAGGUGGGCAGUUUGACUGGGGCGGUCGCCUCCCAAAAGGUAACGGAGGCGCUCAAAGGUUCUCUCAGUACGGUCGGAAAUCGUACGUAGAGUGUAAAGGCAAAAGAGAGCUUGAUUGCAAGACAUACAGGGCGAGCAAGGAUGAAAAUCGGACUUAGUGAUCCGGUGGUUCUGCGUGGAAGGGCCAUCGCUCAACGGAUAAAAGCUACCCUGGGGAUAACAGGCUUAUCUCCCCCAAGAGUCCACAUCGACGGGGAGGUUUGGCACCUCGAUGUCGGCUCAUCACAUCCUGGGGCUGUAGGAGGUCCCAAGGGUUGGGCUGUUCGCCCAUUAAAGUGGUACGCGAGCUGGGUUCAGAACGUCGUGAGACAGUUCGGUCCCUAUCCGUCGCAGGCGUAGGAAAUUUGAGAAGACCUGUCCUUAGUACGAGAGGACCGGGAUGGACGUACCUCUGGUGUACCAGUUGUCCUGCCAAGGGCAUGGCUGGGUAGCUAUGUACGGAAUGGAUAAGCGCUGAAAGCAUCUAAGCGCGAAGUCAACUUCAAGAUAAGAUUUCCCACCGCAAGGGUAAGACCCCAGAAAGACUAUCUGGUUGAUAGGUCGAAGGUGUAAGUGCAGCAAUGUAUUUAGCUUAUCGAUACUAAUAGGUCGAGGACUUGACCAAUAUU
rnacentral:rRNA from 1 species